rfam:Nippostrongylus brasiliensis genome assembly, scaffold: NBR_contig0000069
ACAUCGGUAGCACAGUGGUUAGUGCAGUGUGGCAGAAACAGAAAGAUGCGGGUUCAAUUCCCAUCCAGUGUC